GGAGGAAAGCAGGGGAUCGUAAGACCUUGCGCUUAUGGAGCGGCCGAUGCCUGAUUAGCUAGUUGGUGGGGUAAUGGCUCACCAAGGCUACGAUCAGUAGUUGGUCUGAGAGGACGACCAGCCACACUGGGACUGAGACACGGCCCAGACUCCUACGGGAGGCAGCAGUGGGGAAUUUUGGACAAUGGGCGAAAGCCUGAUCCAGCAAUGCCGCGUGAGUGAAGAAGGCCUUCGGGUUGUAAAGCUCUUUCAGUCGAGAAGAAAAGGUUGUGACUAAUAAUCACAAUUUACGACGGUAUCGACAGAAGAAGCACCGGCUAACUACGUGCCAGCAGCCGCGGUAAUACGUAGGGUGCAAGCGUUAAUCGGAAUUACUGGGCGUAAAGGGUGCGCAGGCGGCUUUGUAAGUCAGAUGUGAAAUCCCCGGGCUUAACCUGGGAAU
rnacentral:rRNA from 1 species